rnacentral:lncRNA from 1 species
CACAAAAAAUAGUAACACCAUUCAUAAUGAUAUUACAAACUUAUUUCUUUAUUAAAAUUUCAUAAUCAUUUUUGGCCAGAAGGCCUACAGAAAUAACAUUUAAAAAGAAAUUGGGACAGAAAUGACAAUCAUUAAGAACAACAGUAUGGGACUUAAAUACAAGUUUCAAGAUUCUUAAUGCUAGAAUUGGAACUGGUCUUCCAUCUCCAACGUUCAGGAACCUCUCACCUUGCUCGAAUCUUCUACUAACCUGCAACCCCUGCAAU